rnacentral:rRNA from 1 species
GAUGAACGCUAGCGGCAGGCCUAAUACAUGCAAGUCGAACGAUAGUGAGAAGCUUGCUUCUCACGAAAGUGGCGCACGGGUGCGUAACGCGUAUGCAACCUACCUUAAUCCGGGGGAUAGCCCGAAGAAAUUCGGAUUAACACCGCAUAAAAUCACAGUAUAGCAUUAUACAAUGAUCAAAUAUUUAUAGGAUUAAGAUGGGGAUGCGUGACAUUAGUUAGGUGGCGGGGUAACAGCCAACCAAGACCACGAUGUCUAGGGGAUCUGAGAGGAUGACCCCCCACACUGGUACUGAGACACGGACCAGACUCCUACGGGAGGCAGCAGUAAGGAAUAUUGGUCAAUGGAGGCAACUCUGAACCAGCCAUGCCGCGUGCAGGAAGACAGCCCUCUGGGUCGUAAACUGCUUUUAUUCGGGAAUAAACCUAUCUACGUGUAGAUGGCUGAAUGUACCGAAGGAAUAAGGAUCGGCUAACUCCGUGCCAGCAGCCGCCGUAA